rnacentral:rRNA from 1 species
UCUUUCGAAUCAGAAUGAGUGGAGUAGAAAAUAAAGAGCAUGGCGGUCCUUAAUCUCGUUAGAGGGGCAUGUUACUAUAUUGAUAACGAAUUUGCACGAAGAUCUGUCCUGAUCUCGAAUAUAUUUCAUUUUGUACACCGCUGUCUGAAAGAAAUUAUAAAAGUAUUUUCUUUUCUCUUUAAAAGAAAUAAGGCAAGUUAAGGUGCAGAUAAUGAUCAGGGAGUUAUGUGCUCCAGUAAAAAUUUAUGGAUCAUUCAAGUGAAAUGUUGGUGAGAAAGAGAAUUUAAUAGUAAGAUUAGAAAUUUAACUAACCUGAAGGAGGGCUAUGGAGGGUGU